AAGUAACCCCAACUAAAACUAAUUUAUUAUGGCGGCAUUCCAUCUAAUCAGAGGAACUUGUUAAUUAAUAGAUACUACACAAUAAUUUUCACUUUAAUUAAAAAUUUAUAUACCGCCAUCUAAAGAACAAAUUACAAAAUAUCCUUCUCAAUAAACAAUCAAAAGUUAGGUCAAGGUUUAAUCUACAUUAAAGACACAAUGAGUUACCUUUAAUACAAUUAAAGAAUUAAAAAUUCACAAAUUUUCAUGAAAAAGAAUUUAAUAGUAUUAUGUAAACAAUAUUUAUAUCUGAAACAGAUAAUAAAUGUGC
rnacentral:rRNA from 1 species